rnacentral:lncRNA from 1 species
AAGAAUAUGGAGAAGAAAAAGUAAUUCAAUCAAUUGUGUAGUAAUAUAUCAUGACUUUCCUAAUAUACAUCUGUGAUUUCCAUGUACAAUACAAAGAUUAAAAAGCCAAAAAGAAGAAAAAGAAAUGUAUAAUAAUCAAACUUAGCUGCAAAAACUUGGGCAUUUGGAGACACAUGAUGAAGGCAGGAAGUAUGGUCUAACGAUCAAUAAAGUCGAUAACAGUUUGACAAUUUCCUUCACACAUGCUAAAUCUCGGUGAACAGAGCUAUUAGUUAAAAUGCGCAUAAACUAACCAGAACAGAACAUGAAAAAUUAAUUGUGUAGAGGAUUUGGUCCUCCGGGAACCAUUCGAUGUGAAACUCUAUAACUCUCAUCAUUUCUUGAUAGUUUUGGAGCUGGUGCUGAACUGUGCCAUGAAAAUCUUGAAUUGAAUCUUUGAUUUGUACUUGUUGGAGUGAUUUCUUGGAUAUUUCUACAACUUGAUAGUUGACUAAUAGAGAUUAUUAUUGCAAAUAUAAGUAGAAAUUGGAAAGAAAGAUAGUGAAUUUUCAUGAUUGUGAUUAUAUGAAGUAGAAGAAGAAAUAUUAGAAAUGGAUUUGUUAUUGAGUUUUCUUCACUUUUUGUUGAAUGGUGACAAGUCUUGUAUUAAUGUUGUGUUUUAAAGAAGC